AUUUAAGAGGAAAAAUUUGAACUGAUUGCAACCUCUGAUACUGAUUUUUCAGUUGAAACAAAAAAUGCUAAAGCAGUAAUU
rfam:Polaribacter sp. SA4-10 genome.